GGAUGCGAUCAUACCAGCACUAAAGCACCGGAUCCCAUCAGCACUCCGAAGUUAAGCGUGCUUGCGCGAGAGUAGUACUAGGAUGGGUUCCCUCCUGGGAAGUCCUCGUGUUGCAUUCC
rnacentral:rRNA from 2 species